GACGUAGGGCGCGAGCGUUGUCCGGAUUUAUUGGGCGUAAAGAGCUCGUAGGCGGUGUGUCACGUCGGCCGUGAAAACCUGCAGCUUAACUGUGGGCGUGCGGUCGAUACGGGCAUCACUGGAGUUCGGCAGGGGAGACUGGAAUUCCUGGCGUAGCGGUGAAAUGCGCAGAUAUCAGGAGGAACACCGGUGGCGAAGGCGGGUCUCUGGGCCGAUACUGACGCUGAGGAGCGAAAGCGUGGGGAGCAAACAGG
rnacentral:rRNA from 1 species